UCUUGAGUGGGCGGGGCGAGUUUGGGGCCGGGCGUGUUGGGGGCGUCACUGUCUCUGUGCAGUCCCGCCAUUUUGGCUAUGGGGUACUGUAAGAUAUGCUUUCUACAACCAGGAAGCAAUUUCUAUUGCUGAGCAGGUGAGCUCAGUUUUUCCCAAACUCACAAGCAGUGCUGAAGAGACAUCCCAGUGACGUACCUGCAGCACUCCUCUAGAAGCAGUACAAUCUUGAGACUCACCCACCAGCUUCUGCAGCCUAGACCAGGACUGACGAACUGAAUCUGAAGGUUGUGUUAGACCAGAAACCCUCCAGCCUUCUAUGAAAACUGGAAUUGGAUGAGCUUCUUUCAGUAGUGACUGGAUUUAAAUUCUCUCUUGUUUUUGCUGUAAAAUUCCUGAGUGACUGGAACUGAACAGUGGCACAGAAUAGACAAAGUGAACUGUGGAUCUAAACCUUUGCAACCCUUUCUCACAAGAAAUGUGCUUCAGGUUUCCAGCAGUGUACUGGCUGGCUGAGCUUAAUUCUAAUAUAUGAGUUUGGCACUGAAGAGGAGAACUAUACUAUUUGCUACAAUACAGUGCCCAGAGACUGAAUGAUACUAGACAAUAGAUUGGCAGCCAUAUACUCCUAGAGCAAUUUAAUUGUGAAAUAACAUCUUUAGAUGAUAUUACUGCAUAAGCUUUUUAUAAAAAUCCACUGAUAUUAGUGAUAUUUGUUUCUUGCUUUUCUUGUUCCAAGUGACCGUAAUUUAGAUGAAAGAAAGUGCUGAAUAAGCAGGUACCUUUUUAUUUCCAAAAAAGGGAAGGGAAGGGAAGGGAAGGGAAGGGAAGGGAAGGGAAGGGAAGGAAAGGCCUCCCAGUUGAUGAUCAUGGACCAAUACUGCAUAACUGAGCUUUGAAAUAUGGAGCCAAUUGAGUGAUAGCUGUGGGACUAAGAGAUUUUCCAUAGGCCCCCCUUUGUCACUCUAGCACAAGAGCAGGUAAAAAGAAAAAGGAUACGUACAAAUUUACCUGUAAUGUUUUAUUGCAACUAUACACUUCGGUUGUGCUUAAAUGUUGGAAGGACAUUAUGUAUGACAUCUUAAGAGCACUGGAAGUUAGUGAAUAUGGAGAAACUGAAAUAACAUGGAAUGAAAGUCAUCUUCUAGCAACUAUAGUGAUCCUAGCAACGCGUAACCUUCAGCUCUUUGUUAGGACUUUUUCAUUUUUCAGCAGGGAGGCAUGGCUGUAUCGGCUUUCUCU